GUUAAGAUGGAUGGAAUUGCCCACUGUGUGCCAGGCACUGCCAGACAUUAGGAGAGGUCGAACCAAGAUUCAAACUCUGGACUUGACCACAAAUCCAGCUCUUUCUUACAUGAAGUCCGGAGGCUGAGGCGGAAGGAUCUCCAGAAACUACGGGGUUGAAGAACGGCCUGGGCAGUAUUCCGAGCAGUGAGAAUUUCGAGCAGUGAGACCCUACUUUAAACCGAGAAACAAAAAAACAA